GGGGCUGAUCGGUUUCGACUUGGGACGUUAGUUCCAGGGGAAGCGGGUCGAGAAGCCAGCGUUAUCUCGUUAACGAUCGCUGGAAACCUAUAGUUGCCAACUCAAACCGCAACGACUUCGCUCUCGCUGCCUGAGCAGUGAUCGAAGGGUCAGACCGGGCACCCGUCCUCGUCCCGGAUCCUGGCCUCAUUCAGAGGACUUGCUGAUCAACUUCCGUGGGGAGGGUUGAUCGGGACUUAAUCCCGACUGAGCCCGUCGGCGCACGUGUCCGUGCAAGCGCCGGGGCCGAGAAAAGCGCAUACCGCGGACUACACCCGUAGAAGACCUGGAUCGACGCUCGAGGACCGGGGUUCGAUUCCCCGCAGCUCCACAA
rnacentral:tmRNA from 1 species